rnacentral:lncRNA from 1 species
CCCCAAGCUUACCUCUUGCUCGUCCCUGAGCAAGGAUAGACUCAGCAAUGGAUCAGAAGUUGUUGCAAUAUCUUAAAAAUUUGAUGGUACACAUGCUUUUAAAUAAGAUCUCAUCUCUGAGUUAGAGUAAACUGUCAAGAACUAAAACUUACUUACUUUACCUUUCACCAUGGGACUUGUAACCGUCACUUCUGUCUUGAGUAGUUAAAAGAUAGAACAGUCUAGCCAAGUGCCAUGUCUCUUAUUCUUGAUCAGCUAUAGCUUUGGAGUUUUUGCAGAUUUUCAAAUAAAACUCAGAGAUUCCUUGUAUGACUCUCUAAAUCUCUCUUUUGUGGUAUUUCUGGAUCCUUACCAAGGCAGUGAUGGUAUAUGCCUUCUCUCAAGAUAUGUGGUAUUUGUGGUAUAAGGCAUAGUGACAUUGCCUUCUCUCUCACCCUACUCUAAUAAGGCUUUAAUAUGUGGAGCUCAUAGGUGGGAUAUAAAGUAUACAUACUUACAAGACAUUUAUUGUAUAGUCAAACCAUGGAUCCAAAGAAACAAAUCAAUAAGCCAAAUCAAGAUGUGCAUGUGUGGCGAAUGAAUGGUGUAUGGUGAUGAUGGUGAUAACAAUGGUGAAAGUCUAAUUCUACUUUUGUUCUUUUGAGGGGAUACAUACCUUCCUUGCUUUUUGAAACUUUAUGAGGAGAAUGAGAUGCUCUAUCUUUCAUUUUUUUUCUUUCCUCUUAGGUGGGUAGCUUGUACCUCUAAUUCUACUGUCGGACACUUGUCCAUUUUUACCUCUCGUCUCACUUUUUCGAGGUUCCGGGCACUUGCCCCUUUUUAUUUCCUCGUUUAUUAUUAUUAUUUAUUUAUUUUCUUUUCUUCUAUUUUCUUCUUUUUUUCAGAGAACUCAUCUCUUGAGAUAAAAUAGGAAGUGGUAAUAGCAAGAUAACUUGAGCAUUUAUUUCACAAGGGAAAACAGAAAUAUUUUUGGCUAUUCUCUCCCGAAUUAGGAGUAGAAUAUUUUUGGAUGGUUCUGGAGAUGGAUAUGGAUGGAUAUAUGUAGAUGGUACUUCCGGAGUAGAAGUAGCAUAUAUGAGUGAACGUGCAAGUGAAUCUUGAUUUAACCACAUGACAAGCUCCUAAGGGUCUACACAGCUUGACCACACUCAAUGCUCAUAAGCAGUAAGUAGUAAAUGUGUGGCUCAAAGUCUAGCAAGCAUGUAUAUAUGGCUGUGGUAGGAAUUUAAACUCUCAUCAUACAGGAACUCAUCAUGCAAUAUUUUAAAGAUUUUUCAAAGAUAAAAUUCUCCAGAAUUCUAGCAUCUCUAGGAACAGAUAAACAGCAGCUCAACCUUCCCAUAUCAUAUCCGUUAACAACUUAGAUUUCAGAUCAAGUUUUCAUCCCACAAGUUUAGAUCUAGAGCAAGCUUUAGAUUAUAACAGUUAUGUCUAAACUUGAGAGAGAACUUCAAAUUUGCAAAUUAGGCAGAGCAACUAUUCAUCAUAUCCAUGCUAGAGUUUUAUUAUUAAGAUUCAGAUUAGCAUAGCCACUUUAUUUAUUUAUUAAACACACUAAGCAAAAGAUAUAUAUAUAAGCACAAAAUCUUUAUUUGGUUAUUCAUAGUUUAUGUAUUUUAAUAUUCUAACAUAAUAUAAGUAUAAAGAUAGGUAGAAAUACUUAGCGAGAUAAAUGGGGGUGCUCUCCCCCAAGCUGAAUUUUGACGUAAUUUCUCUUGAUGUAGCUAGGAGGUGGCAGAGGUGUAUUUGAAAGUCAGCAGCAUUCUGACAGCGAUUAGAAUGUCCUCCGUCUCCUAGUCUUCUUGAUUCUUAAAUUCUGUGGAGCUCAAAUAGACAACAAAGCUUGUGGAACUAAUUAAGUGUUAGCAUAAAUAUCUAGCCUUCAUCAUGUUGAGCUUCCCCAAUAAAUAUUACUCCCUGUUUUUAUAUUUUUAUUUUAUAAAGCAGAAAAGAAAUAUUUAUUUUAUUUUUAUGCCACCACAGUGAAGGUACUUAUGGGUUUUAUGCCACUCGUAUGCUCACAUGGGGCUCAGUAUUUUUUAACAUUUUUAUUUUCUUUUCAAGAUAGCAUGAUUAACUAAUAAUCUAUUUAAGGAAAGUAAAUAAUUAAAGGGAAAAGGGAAUACAGAAAGGAUAAAUAUGGAUAACUACCGAUCUUACCUUUCGGCGAGGGUUCAAUGUCUUAAGUCUUCUUAACAAGACUUCUCACCGUGUUCAUUCUUUAGGUGCGUCAUUUGAUUCAGGUGCGGACCUUGACGUCUGCACCUCUUCGUUUGCCCAGCAAUUCGAAGUGCGGCGUUGGCAGUAUCCUGCUCAGUGUGUUUGUGCUCGUAGAUCCAGGUCCUUCACUUAGUAGAGUCUGAGAGUUAUAAAACUCCUUCAUGUUUUGCUCGAAGUGUACCUGCUCAUAGAGACAAGGCAGAGAUCAAGUGCAUGGGUCCUGUUGGUGGAAAACACCAACAGAACCUAAAGUGUAUUUGUUCUUCUCUAACCCUAAGCAUAGUG